rnacentral:tRNA from 1 species
UGCCGGGUCGUCUAAUGGUAGGACACUGGGCUCUGGACCCAGUAAUCUAGGUUCGAAUCCUAGCCCGGCAG